GUGGGGAAUAUUGCGCAAUGGGCGAAAGCCUGACGCAGCGACGCCGCGUGAGGGAUGACGGCCUUCGGGUUGUAAACCUCUUUCAGCAGGGACGAAUUCAGACGGUACCUGCAGAAGAAGCACCGGCCAACUACGUGCCAGCAGCCGCGGUAAUACGUAGGGUGCAAGCGUUGUCCGGAAUUAUUGGGCGUAAAGAGCUCGUAGGCGGUCUGUCGCGUCGGCUGUGAAAACUUGGGGCUCAACCCCAAGCCUGCAGUCGAUACGGGCAGACUAGAGUGUGGUAGGGGAGACUGGAAUUCCUGGUGUAGCGGUGAAAUGCGCAGAUAUCAGGAGGAACACCGGUGGCGAAGGCGGGUCUCUGGGCCAUAACUGACGCUGAGGAGCGAAAGCGUGGGGAGCGAACAGG
rnacentral:rRNA from 1 species